UGUCCAUGCUCUCUCGUCGAUC
rnacentral:miRNA from 1 species